rnacentral:rRNA from 1 species
UCCUACGGGGGGCAGCAGUAGGGAAUUUUCGUCAAUGGGCGCAAGCCUGAACGAGCAAUGCCGCGUGAACGAGGAAGGUCUUCGGAUCGUAAAGUUCUGUUGAAGGGGAAAAAGAGCGGAGAGAGGAAAUGGUCUCCGAUUGAUAUUACCCUUCGAGGAAGUCACGGCUAACUACGUGCCAGCAGCCGCGGUAAUACGUAGGGGGCGAGCGUUAUCCGGAAUGAUUGGGCGUAAAGGGUGCGUAGGCGGCCUGCUAAGUCUGGAGUGAAAGGUACGGGCUCAACCGGUACAGGCUAUGCAAACUG